rnacentral:rRNA from 1 species
UACAGAGGGUGCGAGCGUUAUUCGGAAUUACUGGGCGUAAAGCGUGCGUAGACGGUAGCGUAAGUCAGAUGUGAAAGCCCCGGGCUCAACCUGGGAAUUGCAUUUGAGACUGCUCUGCUCGGGUGCGGAAGAGGGAAGCGGAAUUUCCGGUGUAGCGGUGAAAUGCGUAGAUAUCGGAAGGAACACCAGUGGCGAAAGCGGCUUCCUGGUCCGACACCGACGUUCAGGCACGAAAGCGUGGGGAGCAAACAGG